AGAGGAAGUAAAAGUCGUAACAAGGUUUCCGUAGGUGAACCUGCGGAAGGAUCAUUACAGAAUGAAAAGUGCUUAACUGCAUUUUUUCUUACACAUGUGUUUUUCUUUUUUUGAAAACUUUGCUUUGGUAGGCCUUCUAUAUGGGGCCUGCCAGAGAUUAAACUCAACCAAAUUUUAUUUAAUGUCAACCGAUUAUUUAAUAGUCAAAACUUUCAACAACGGAUCUCUUGGUUCUCGCAUCGAUGAAGAACGCAGCGAAAUGCGAUAAGUAAUAUGAAUUGCAGAUAUUCGUGAAUCAUCGAAUCUUUGAACGCACAUUGCGCCCUUUGGUAUUCCAAAGGGCAUGCCUGUUUGAGCGUCAUUUCUCCCUCAAACCCUCGGGUUUGGUGUUGAGCGAUACGCUGGGUUUGCUUGAAAGAAAGGCGGAGUAUAAACUAAUGGAUAGGUUUUUUCCACUCAUUGGUACAAACUCCAAAACUUCUUCCAAAUUCGACCUCAAAUCAGGUAGGACUACCCGCUGAACUUAAGCAUAUCAAUAAGC
rnacentral:rRNA from 1 species